rnacentral:misc_RNA from 1 species
AACAAGGCGUACCUGCGGACCUGCGGAGGGAUCAUUAACAAUUAUCCAUUUUCCUUUGCAAUAUGGAUGGUUCAAAUCCAUAUCCACCUUCGUGUGCACUUCAUUGACAUGUUUGCUUUGGCAGUUUGCGGGAGAGAAGAGCGAUCCUUCGAUCGUUUUCUCCGUGGAUGGGGAAAAGGGAUGAAAAAAGUCAUUCUUUUCCCCCCUCCGGCGCUGCCAGAGUUUUUUUUGUUCCUUUCG